rnacentral:piRNA from 1 species
UGAUAAUUUACCAAUUCCUACAAGUCAUGUGU